UACGGGAGGGGCAGGUGUUACUCAUCUUGACUGGGCGUAAAGGGUGCGUAGGUUGUUAAGUAAGUUUUAGAUAAAAUUUUAGUUUUUAAAAACAAUUUAAAAUACUGCUUAACUUGAGUUUAAAAGAAGAUAAUGGUACUCACAGUGUAGAGGUGACAUUCGGAGAUAUUGACGUGGACUACCAUUAGCGAAGGCGAUUAUCUAUUUUAAUACUGACGCUGAGGCACUAAAGCAUGGGUCUCGAAUGGG
rnacentral:rRNA from 1 species